rnacentral:rRNA from 1 species
CAACUUUCAACAACGGAUCUCUUGGCUCUCGCAUCGAUGAAGAACGCAGCGAAAUGCGAUAAGUAAUGUGAAUUGCAGAUUUUCAGUGAAUCAUCGAAUCUUUGAACGCACCUUGCGCCCCUUGGUAUUCCGAGGGGCAUGCCUGUUUGAGUGUCAUUG